rnacentral:rRNA from 1 species
UACAGAGGGUACAAGCGUUAUUCGGAUUUACUGGGCGUAAAGAGCGUGUAGGUGGCUCGAUAAGUCUGAUGUGAAAUCCCUGGGCUCAACCCAGGAAGUGCAUUGGAUACUGUCGAGCUGGAGUACAGGAGGGGAGAGCGGAAUUCCAGGUGUAGAGGUGAAAUUCGUAGAUAUCUGGAGGAACAACGGUGGCGAAGGCGGCUCUCUGGACUGUUACUGACACUAAGGCGCGAAAGCGUGGGGAGCAAACAGG